GCAGCAGCCAAAUGCAGAGCUCAGGACAACAGGGUGCAGAUCACUGCUGCCAGCAAGGAAAGCAGAGACACAUACCAAGAAAUGCUCUGAGGACUAUGUCUUUUGGGGAUCCAAGGCUGUAUCUACAGUGAAAUAUUAAGAGGGAAGAACCAGUCCAGGGACAAAUACUUCUCGGGACCAGACUGUUUUUCUCUCGGCCUUGUCUCUAACAGAAUUUCCCAGUUUACCUAGAGGAAACCUUGAGCAUAAAUGUGAGAAGCAAAACCCACACUCAGCUGAGAAAGGACAGAGGACAAGCAGCAGAGGAGAAGCUCCACACAUCAAGCAUCCCAACUAUGACAGCCUGUCAAAGAUUUCUUGGCACAACACUUGCUCAUGUGCUUUUUAUUGCUACCUGUGAGCAGAUCACUUCUGCAUAUACUUAGUGGGUUUUUAAUCUCAUUAGGAGGGCUUUACUUACCAUGUACCUUGUGUGGGUUAUAUACACCUGAAAGAUCUGUGGUGCUGAAGACACUCAACAUGCAAAAGCAAGGCAGUGUGUCAUGUUACUUCAAAGCUAAGUAUUCAAUACUGCUUAUAAAUUACUUCAAUAGCUAAGUAUUCUGCUGGUUCUAACAUAUCUGAUUAGAGUUCUGAUAUCUAGUGACCUUCCCCUGUAUUCAUGGCCAGUGCCACAAUUUGUUAUGUGUUGCUGUAGUCGUGUCACAGCGAUGCCAUGCACAGAAAUGUUAAAGACAACAAAGUAUUUAGGCACUAUAGGUAUGCAGGGCACAAAUUCUUCAUGAGCAGUGAGAACAGAAAACAGGGGAAACUCUACACCUUCAAGAUUUUAUCUAGCACUAAGUUUAUUUGUGCAGACUGUCUGACUGGUGUGGUUUGAGCAACACUUUAGAGAUGAUAAUUCAGGAAGUCUAAGGAAAAUCAGCACCAGAAACUAACUUGGUUUGUAUCAUAACCUGUUUUCUUAUGCACAGUUGAAUUAUUUGCAGUUUCGCUCCUCUCCUUUCUCUCAUCAAGAAAACACAGACAACAACAAUAACAAUCUUUGGCCUUCACUCGUGGGCUGCAUCUGAACUGUGCUUGAGGUUACUCAAAAGGUGGCUUCAAAAGCAUCUGCAUGAAUCAUGAGGGAACAGGUCACCUGGGCCACAGCUCUCCCCUUGUCAUAUACAUUAUGAAAGCCUUAUGAAGCCAGAGGAGUCAGUUACACAAAAGCACACUCCACUGGAAAUUUAAGCUGGAUUUAAGAUGCUCUGCACUGCUGAAGCAGUGCAAAGCUGCCUUUAGAGAAUUGUGAAUUUAGCUUCUUAUUGUUACACCUUGGAUUUCAAUAAAUUCUCCCCAAGGGAACAUAUGCUUUCCUUCUACAGUUUCUAUUGUUUGGAUUAUCUUUUCGCUAUCUAUGACACAUUAUUUAUUAGCAUCUUGCACUCAAUUUUUCUUAUUGAAUUAACAAAUGCAUCCCACCAAACAAGGUGAGGAAAACAAGUUACUCAGGGCAAGUAGCACAAAAAGAACACAAACCCAAGCCUCCACUUCUCAGGAGAAGCCUUUGUGCGCUCUGGCUCAUUAAAGAUUGAAUCCCCACAAGCACUUGGGUAUGAAAGCCAGCUGGUACCACUUAGUCCCUACUUAAAUCCAAUGCCCAAGGGAUGCAAAAACCUCAUAAAUGAGGAAUUUCUAGCAGUACUUGGUUUUGGUACUUUUAAUUUAGUUUAAUGGUAACCUAGCAGGCCUAGUAUGAAGAUUUUUGUUAGUACAAAUUGUUCAAAGCUCCCUUUUUCUUUAUACACUUCCCCAUGCCCCAACUUCAAAAAUGAAAAAUGUUCAUAAUCAUUCAUGUACAGUAUCACGGUAUUAGCAAUUAACUGGAAAUGACCAUUCCCUCACACAAUCCUGGGGUUGGUCUGUUUUAAAUCAGUAACUGUGUUCAGAAGGCAAGGUUGUUACAGGAUCUACAGGAGUUCUCAAACAUUGCUAAAAUUUGUGUUCUUUCAUUUUGUCUCCUACACUGGUUUUUGACUUAUUAAAGUUUUCCUCUCUUUUAUUUUAAACCAUAGGCUAGCUUUAGUUUUAUGACAUUGAGGGGUUUUGAUCAGAUCCUCAACUGGUUUAAACUGACAGAAUUCCACAGCUCUAUGGGCUUGUCUAGUAUACCUCCACUGUCUGUUCCUUUCUGUGUUACAAUUGAGACAAAAACAAACUGGUGUAUACACUCACCUUAUCAGACAAAUAAAUUGUCAGUGUCAUGAUUUAUCCUGAAGAGUAGAUGUUUUCUAAAAGAGAUUUUCUUGAAAAUAAGGGGGUUAAAAAUGACCUAAUAUACUGCAGCAAAAUACUGAAGGCAAUCAGUAAGGCUGUUAUUAUUUCUUGAGAUGGAUAGAAAUCUGCUAUUUUCUACCUUUCCUUCCAAUAUCCCAAAGAAUAAUGAUGUGAUUUAAGAACAUAAAGCUUACAGCUCAAUUGUGGCAAUUUAUGUUCCUGUAAACUUGAUGUAAGCCUGAGCAGCCCAAUAUUUUUACCGUGUAUUGUAAAGGAUGACAUCUUAAAGGUCACAGCAAUUUCCACCAUUUUACUUCCAAAUUUAUUUCUCCUUAGUUUUUCACAGAGAAGUGUUGAGAUUUACCUCUGACCCAACCUACUUUCCUCAAAACUUGAACUGUAUAUAAAGAACGAAGGAAUUGUUCAAUGAAUGGGUUAUUUUCUGGGUAACAUGACUGGAAGACAAACAUGACAUCAUAAGCAGGUGUAAUGUAUCCCUAAAUGCGUUUCAAUUCCAAAGUGAAAACAGUAAGCAACUUCUCGCUCUGACAUUUUCUCUCUUCACUGUAUGUAAUGUUUUCAGAUUCUGUCGAGGAGUGUGUCUAAUUCAUUUUUCCGGCUUAGUGAGACUCACCCCGAGUCAUUUCCUAUUUGCUGUCUUGCUGUGAGUGGAGUCACAUUCCCAGUGAGAAGUCAGCUCAGUUCCAGUGAUUAUCUCCGUGCCCAGCGAUGGCCUGAGAGGACGCCUGCUCAUGCUGAGAACAUAGUUUAACACUAUGUUAAUAAACACACAGGGAAUGUGUUAUGCAAACAAAGGCCCCAAGGCAAAUCCCUUUGCCCUCAGAGAUGCUAAAGGAGUAAUAGGUUUGGGGAGAACAAGGGAAUAGUACUGCUUUUGAAAAGCAGCCUCAUUGUAAAUGUGUCCAGAUUUGCAGUGGGAAGAGUUAACAUGAAGACACACUGUCUAUCAUUCUCUUUUGCCCUUCUUUUGAAGAUCAUUAGAGUUGGCAUUAAGAGGAGUUAUACGGAUUAAAGGCAGCUAGGUCUGCUCUCACUGCUUGAUGAAACAGCUAUCAUCUCAAAGCAGCAUACCUUCAGCAGGCUAUUAAUUACAUCCCACUAAAGUCCUUAAAAGGUAGUUUAUUUUAACCUCAAAAUUUCACCAUUUACU